rnacentral:rRNA from 1 species
GAUGAACACUGGCGGCGUGCCUAAUACAUGCAAGUCGAACGAAACUUCUUUAUCACCGAGUGCUUGCACUCACCGAUAAAGAGUUGAGUGGCGAACGGGUGAGUAACACGUGGGCAACCUGCCCAAAAGAGGGGGAUAACACUUGGAAACAGGUGCUAAUACCGCAUAACCAUAGUUACCGCAUGGUAACUAUGUAAAAGGUGGCUAUACUACCGCUUUUGGAUGGGCCCGCGGCGCAUUAGCUAGUUGGUAGGGUAAAGGCUUACCAAGGCAAUGAUGCGUAGCCGAAUUGAGAGGUUGAUCGGCCACAUUGGGACUGAGACACGGCCCAAACUCCUACGGGAGGCAGCAGUAGGGAAUCUUCCACAAUGGGCGAAAGCCUGAUGGAGCAACGCCGCGUGGGUGAAGAAGGUCUUCGGAUCGUAAAACCCUGUUGUUAGAGAAGAAAGUGCGUGAGAGUAACUGUUCACGUUUCGACGGUAUCUAACCAGAAAGCCACGGCUAACUACGUG